GCCGUAUUUUGUAAACAAGAAAGAUGGUGAACUAAAGACCAUCACGUCCAAGGAGCAUAGAAAUAAUAAUGGUUUAGUAGCUUCGCCGCCUGCUGUUUGAACUUUAUUAGUAGUUGACUGUUGAAUUUCGGUUAAAAUAAAGCAUAUUAUUUUUACCUGGAAGUAAAAUGAAACGUUUAGAGGAGACUGUAAAGCGAGGUGAACCUUGAAGUGUAAAUGAUCUCUGCAAUGGCAAGAAUGGCCUCGUGUGCAAGGCCUCUUGUGGGACUCCUUAGAAACACUGCCACGAGACCACAGUACUGUUCCUGCAUCAACUUCAGGAUACUUGCCUCACGCGUGGCAGCUUCCAGUAGAAACUACGAGCACGGCCGUAGCGAGGGAGGGCUGAGCACUCACCCGGUGCGACUCUUCAUGAAAGCGUCGAAGAAGCGGCAAGAGCGCUUCAAACUGAAAGACAACAUACCCGACGGCUAUGAGAUCAUAUACAGAGCACCCUUGGAGAGGUACUUGCAGGUUGGACAGGUUAUUUCAUAUCUCUCUGCAGUGGUGUUGGGUGCCGUUCCUGCUUACAGCAUGUUUGCGUACGGCAGUUUGCUAGAACUCCCUCUCUACAUCAUAAAAACAGAAGAAAUCAAUUUCAUCCAGUUGGCCGUCAUGUUUGGGUUUUUUGUCGGAGUUAAUUCAAUGUUUCAGAGGGUCGUGGUUUCGUAUCCAUUUAGGAUAUACAAGAAAAAUGAAGCCUACAUAAUGGUCAAAAGUAGUUGGUUUCCUUUUCAAGCCAGACAGGUAACAUUUUCCAAAGGUGACUUCAAAACGGGUGGCUCACAGUUGUUUAGCAUUUUGUGGAAUGACGCUGUUUUUCUAUGUUCUGGCAAAACCGUGAUUGUUUUGCUGGAACACUUCAGAACACCUCAAGAAUUCCAAGAUAUGUUCGACUAAGUCUGAAUAGGAACUUACGCUUUAGAAGUAAAUUUUAACGUAGGAUGGCAAUAAAUUGUUUUCUUUAUAAAAUA